AGCAUUGCUGAGGUUUUCCGAUGUUUCAUUUGCAUGGAGAAAUUGCGGGAUGCACGCCUGUGUCCUCAUUGCUCCAAGCUUUGUUGUUUCAGCUGUAUCAGGCGCUGGCUGACAGAGCAGAGAGCUCAAUGUCCUCACUGCCGUGCUCCACUCCAACUACGAGAACUAGUAAACUGUCGUUGGGCAGAAGAAGUAACACAGCAGCUUGAUACUCUUCAACUCUGCAGUCUCACCAAACAUGAAGAAAAUGAAAAGGACAAAUGUGAAAAUCACCAUGAAAAACUUAGUGUAUUUUGCUGGACUUGUAAGAAGUGUAUCUGCCAUCAGUGUGCACUUUGGGGAGGAAUGCAUGGUGGACAUACCUUUAAACCUUUGGCAGAAAUUUAUGAGCAGCAUGUUACUAAAGUGAACGAAGAGGUAGCCAAACUUCGUCGGCGUCUCAUGGAAUUGAUCAGCUUAGUUCAAGAAGUGGAAAGAAAUGUGGAAGCUGUAAGAAAUGCAAAAGAUGAACGUGUUCGGGAAAUUAGGAAUGCAGUGGAGAUGAUGAUUGCACGGUUAGACACACAGCUAAAGAAUAAGCUUAUAACACUGAUGGGUCAGAAGACAUCUCUAACACAAGAAACAGAGCUGUUGGAAUCCUUACUUCAGGAGGUAGAGCACCAGUUGCGGUCUUGUAGUAAGAGUGAGUUGAUAUCUAAGAGCUCAGAAAUUCUCAUGAUGUUUCAGCAAGUUCAUCGAAAGCCUAUGGCAUCCUUUGUUACUACUCCUGUUCCACCAGACUUUACCAGUGAAUUAGUACCAUCUUAUGAUUCAGCUACUUUUGUUUUAGAGAAUUUCAGCACAUUGCGUCAGAGAGCAGAUCCUGUUUACAGCCCACCUCUUCAAGUUUCAGGACUUUGUUGGAGGUUAAAAGUUUACCCAGAUGGGAAUGGAGUUGUUCGUGGUUACUACUUAUCAGUGUUUCUGGAACUCUCGGCUGGCCUGCCUGAAACUUCCAAAUAUGAAUAUCGUGUAGAGAUGGUUCAUCAGUCCUGCAAUGAUCCUACCAAAAAUAUCAUUCGAGAAUUUGCAUCUGACUUUGAAGUUGGAGAAUGCUGGGGUUAUAAUAGAUUUUUUCGUUUGGACUUACUUGCAAAUGAAGGAUACUUGAAUCGACAAAACGAUACAGUGAUUUUAAGGUUUCAGGUUCGUUCACCAACUUUCUUUCAAAAAUGCCGGGACCAGCAUUGGUAUAUUACCCAAUUGGAAGCUGCACAGACUAGCUAUAUCCAACAAAUAAAUAACCUUAAAGAGAGACUCACUAUUGAGUUGUCUCGAACUCAGAAAUUAAGAGAUUUGUCACCACCAGAUAAUCAUCUUAGCCCCCAAAAUGAUGACACUCCCGAGACACGAGCUAAAAAGUCUGGGUCAUGCACUGACAUGCUUCUACAGGAUGGUCCUACUACAGCUUCUGUAAGAGAGGCCAAAGAGGAUGAAGAAGAUGAGGAGAAGAUUCAGAAUGAAGAUUAUCAUCAUGAACUUUCAGAUGGAGAUCUGGAUCUGGAUCUUGUUGGUGAAGAUGAAAUAAAUCACCUUGAUGGGAGCAGUUCUUCUGCCAGUUCCACAGCCACAAGUAACACGGAAGAAAAUGACAUUGAUGAGGAAACUAUGUCUGGAGAAAAUGAUGUGGAAUACAACAACAUGGAAUUGGAAGAAGGAGAACUUAUGGAAGAUGCAGCUGCUUCAGGACCUCUAGGUAGUAACCAUGGCUAUGUGAGUGCCAGUAGCAGAAUGUCAAGAAGAGCACAUUUAUGCUCUGCUGCUACCAGUAGUUUAUUAGACAUUGAUCCUUUAAUUUUAAUACAUUUGUUGGACCUUAAGGACCGCAGCAGUAUGGAAAAUUUAUGGGGCUUACAGCCUCGUCCACCUGCUUCACUUUUGCAGCCCACAGCAUCAUAUUCUCGAAAAGAUAAAGACCAGAGGAAGCAGCAGGCAAUGUGGCGAGUUCCCUCUGAUUUAAAGAUGCUAAAAAGACUCAAAACUCAAAUGGCUGAAGUUCGAUGUAUGAAAACUGAUGUAAAGAAUACACUUUCAGAAGUAAAAGGCAGCAACGCUGCUUCUGGAGACAUGCAGGCAAGCCUUUUUUCUGCUGACCAGGUAGCUCUGGCUGCGUGUGGAACCGAAAACUCUGGCAGAUUACAGGAUUUAGGAAUGGAGCUCUUGGCAAAGUCAUCAGUUGCCAGUUGUUACAUACGAAACUCCACAAAUAAGAAAAGUAAUUCAGCCAAGCCAGCUCCAUCCAGUAUAGCGGGUAGUCUGUCACUUCGAAGAGCAAUAGACUCUGGGGAAAAUAGCCGUUCGAAAGGAGACUGUCAAACUCUGUCUGAAGGCUCUCCAGGAAGCUCUCAGUCUGGGAGCAGGCACAGUUCUCCCCGAGCCUUGACACAUGGCAGCAUCAGUGAUAUUCUGCCGAAAUCUGAAGACCGGCAGUGUCAAGCUUUGGAUUCCGAUGCUGUUGUGGUUGCAGUUUUCAAUGGCUUACCUACUACUGAGAAGAGGAGGAAAAUGGUCACCUUGGGGUUAUUUUCUCCCUCUUUGAGGGCUAAUGCUAAAGGAGGUCUUCUGGAAGGAAUGCAAAUAACUGAUUUGGAAAAUAAUUCUGAAACUGGGGAAUUACAACCUAUACUACCAGAAGGAGCUUCAGCUGCCCCUGAGGAAGGAAUGAGUAGCGACAGUGAUAUUGAAUGUGACACUGAGAAUGAGGAGCAGGAAGAGCACACCAGCAUGGGUGGAUUUAACGACUCUUUCAUGGCACAGCCCCCAGAUGAAGAUACGCAUUCCAGUUUUCCUGAUGGCGAACAAAUAGGCCCUGAGGAUCUCAGCUUCAAUACCGAUGAAAACAGUGGAAGGGAGUCUUGUCUUCUGUUCCUGCUCUGCAGAGCCUCUGCCCAGCCAGAGCCCUUGCCUGAGUCCUGCAGGGCAGUUAAAUAAUGUGAUUUGAAACUGACACUGCACCUGAUGGGUUGUUAACAAGAUCUAGGCUUCAGAAAAUGACAGAAGUGAGUGAGCUCUGGAGACCGAUAGACUUCCAUUCACCCUCCAGGCACCAAACCAGACUACACAACCUCCAAGGGCCUCAAUGCGCUGCUUUUCAUCCUAAACAGCAAUGCAAUAGAAAGAACCAAAUAAUUGGCUUCAGGAUUUAUUCAUCUACCUUAACAGUAAACAACAGAUACAACACUCAUCAGCUCCCUGGAAAAGUUCUCUUUAUUUCUCCUUUGGAAGAUGAAGACCUGGCACUCCUCGCAGUCAUCUGGCCACCACAUGGAGCCUGAAAAUAAGUGAUGAAAGUGAGUACAGCCGAGAGCUGGAGAAGCGCCAGGUUCUGAUGACAUCAUGUGAAGCUGUGAAUCCAGCUGUGUAGCCCUUACCUUGAAGGGUAGCCAAGAAAUUGUUCUGCUGAAACCAGUUUGAGUUAUGUUGGUUGUCACUUGGAAUAAAAAAAUUCUUGAGUGUGCAUUAAGGGUAAAUGCUAGAUUUUGGCUUGAGUCAAAUUUUGUUCUCCAGUGUCCAAGAUGUAUCCAUGUAGUUCUACUUUAUUAAGUAUAUUUUUAAAAUUAGGAUUGCAUAUUGAAUUUCAUCAAUUGGUUUUUUGGAUGUCUUUAGAAAUUAUCCAGGUUUUUUUCUUUUAACCUAUUAAUAUAUAAAUUAGGCUAAUAGACUUCCCAAUAUUUUUGUUUUGUUCCCUGCUGUUUCCCCAGCAUAGUGCUAAACUAUGGUAGGCCCUCAAUAAAAUACUCAUCAGAUGAAUUAACUAUUGUACUCAAUAUACAAAUAUUUUACUUAAGGUUUUUUACAUUGAUUAAUGACUGAUCUAUUUCCUUUUUUAGUUUUGUCUCAGGCAAGUUUUCAUAUUAGUGUUAUGCUAUGCAAAUUUUCCUUCUUUAUGCAAUUGGAUAAUUCAUUUUAAAAAGUGUUGGGAUUGUCUUUGAUCGUUUGAAAAUGUUCACCUUUGGAGUCACCUGUUCUGUCCUUUUGGGAACGUGGCUCCUUGACAAUCUUCUAACUCUUUCUUCUUAGGUAAAGUUUGUUAAUUUGUAUUUUUCCAUAAAAUACACAUUUUCAAAUUAGUUUACACAAAUUUUUCCUAAUUCUUUUCAUUUCUUCUGUAUUAGUGAUCAUUUUCCCCUUUCUGUUUUUAAUUUUUACAUUGGAAUAUUUCAGAUUGAUUUUAGGUUGUCUGGCCAGGGGUUAAAUCUGCCAUACUAAACUUGUAUCAACAGAUAUGCAAGGUCGUUUAGCAAACAUUCUGUUAGGGAUGACAGAAACAUGAACUUUAAGUUAAGAAUUUUUUUUAAGUCUGUUUUUGGAAAAAACUAAAAGGAGAGACAAAAGCCAUUUCAGUGGGGACUUCAGUGCUUUUAAGGCAGUGACGGCAGGCCUUGUUCAGUAUGCUCCUUUCCCACUCUGAUGUAUGGAUAAACAAUACGCCCUGCAGAGGAUCUCCUCAGUGCCGUUCACACUGAGUGAUUUGGUUUAAAUAAUUUAGAUUAAGGACUUGCAAAUAGUUUAGAAUUAUAAUAGAUCAUUCUGAAUCACAGCAAUGGCAUGGAAACGUUACUGGGUAAACUUUUGGAAAAAUAUAAAAUCAGAAGGACCAAUGAUACCCACCAAAAGAAACACCCUUAAUUUCACUUUUGCUAUCUUAUGGGAGUUCAGAAAAUUCUUCCAAAGUAGGCAUGUAGGGCAAUACUACAAUCCUGCUACGUUAAGUAUUCUCCUGCAGGGAAUAGUGUAGAACAUCAGUAUAUAAAUAAUUGCUGCUUGAAAUGGAAAAAUAAAAUAGGGCGGGAAAAAGAGAAAAUUGUCCAAAGUAGCAGUCUACCCUCUCACAGCUGUAAAUUACUCAUCAGUCGUUAAUGUCAUUGUACUGAGCUGGAACUGAGUCAGCCAGCACCCUGGCUGCAGUGAUGCAGAAUUUAAUGUCCCUCAUCUUUUCAUUACGGGGCUUUUACUUCAUGCAUCAGUACCAGAGGAAAGACCAAUGCUUUGUAGCAGGAAUUCCAUCCAGCUUGACUCUGGAACAAUUUGGUUCCAAGUGAAUCAAUUACUCUCAGUAAAAACAAGCAGAGGACUUUCUCCUUUGCCAGUUUUCUGUCAAAAAUGAUCUGGAGAAAUAAAGGAAGAACGGAAUGUUUACUUUUC